rnacentral:lncRNA from 1 species
UGCCUUGGCUGUGUGAACUCACCUUGGUUUGCUCGGCAGAUACACAAGGAAUAUAAGUAGCAAGUAAAUGGUCACUCACGUCCUAUCAUGGUUAUUAUACGAGUCAGGUUCGUAUAUAGUACGUAUAUAGCAAUCACGUAUAGUCAUGGCAAACAUGUACGCACGUAAGCAGAUAAGACAUAGCAUGUGAGGAUCCAAUUGUCUAAGUCCAACAAUACCCGGCCCAAUAGCAUAAGCAGCCCAAUAACAAAACAGUCCAGAUUCUCAAUCGGCCCAAAUAGUAAACGUAUAUCGGUCCAAUAGCAAACAGUCCACAAUUCAAAUCGUUGGGCUCAAUAGAUUGGGCCCAUGACAGUGAAGGCCCAACAGUAUGGUAUUGGGUUACGUAGGCUUUACGUAACGUGUCCUCCCGACCCGGGAGACAUAUGGCAAAUAUACUGGGUUACGUAGGCUUUACGUAACGUGUCCUGACUAACCUGAGGACGAUGGUCUAUAGUCUGGUAUAUGCGUAAGUACGAGUAAUCAUUCCAUAUCCAACAUAUCCAACCCAAUUCCCAACCCGGGAAUCCCAUGCCUUGGCUGU